AUAACCUAUAUAAUUUUACAUUUUUUAAUAAUUUAAAUAACAUUUAUAUUAUAAAAACAGAAUCUAUCAGAAUUUCUAGUUCAACGCUAUAUUAAGAAAUGAUACGGCUUCGAUAAAAAAACGAGAUAUCCUUGGUAGAAAAGAACUUUUUCUCUCUCAAGUAAUUCUAUGUUAGAAUAUAUUCAAUACCAUCAUAGAUCAAUGAGCGUGUCGUGAUGUUACUCGUCUGGCAUUUAACAAAACCCCGAGGAUGUUCACUGACUUCAUCAAAAGGUUAUACAUUCAAGGAUUACAUUGAUUGUGGGAGACAAUAAUCAAUAAAUUGUGAAUUCCUGUAUCCAUGUCAACAGUAGCAAAAAUGACAAUCUAUUGAAUUAACAUGAACGUCUACAAAGCAAAUGAAACUGUGGAUGAAUGAAACUUUGUAUGUGAUUUAUAAGUUAGAAACUCUUUCAAAACAAGAUUUACCACGCUUAAAAGGUUACAUGAAAGAUGUUACUCAUGAAUAAGAUCAUUUUAUAAUGUACUUUUUACUUAAACAAUAUUUCAACUACUUAUUUUUACUAUUUACUGGGAAAAUUGGGCAAAAGCGAACCAGAGAUAGCGAACGAGCUAAACGAACUAUCAGGGCUAAAUAAUCGUCCUCACGUUUUCCUUGAGAUUCUAUCUCUCAGAAAGCGCUUCCCAUUGCGCAACCAGGCUUCAUUUCCUGGUUCCAUCGCAAGAAGAUGUUACGAAGGAAAAAAAUUCGCCUGACAAUAACGCAUGUUACGCGAUCGUACGUGUUAGUCGAGCAACUCGCUUUACUAACAAUUACGAGACCUGACGGAGCGUAUGCUUAGUGGUAUAAUAAAAUGAUUAUUGUGAGAUCGUUGGCAAUCUCCCACGAGUAUUUUGCUUGGUAAAAAAAAAAAAAAAGAAAAAAAAAUAAUCGGCCCUCACGAUUAUUUCAGGUUAUGUGCCCAUCCAAUUAAAACUUCCUUUGAUCGGUUCGCUCUUAUAUUGCUUUCCUGACUCUUUCUCAAAGUUUCUCGAUACGAAAUCCUGGCUAAGAAUUGGACUUUGCGUGACAUUGAUCGCCGAUUUCGUAACGUUAAACAAGAUACAGAUCAUAGAUCAAAUUCUGAUUAUUCAUCAAGGAUUCACGAUUUUUUAUUUAUUUUACACAGUAUUGAGUGUAGACGAAUCAUUAUUUUGAGAAAUAAAUUUUUUCUACUAUCAAAAUGGAUCCAUUGAAAUUUCUAUUUUUACAAUAAUAUUUUAUAUUUUUUAAGUUAGAUUAAGUUUUCUCUAAUAAUAUUCCUCUAUCAAAACUAUUUAAUUUAGAUUAGCUUGACGAAUGAUUCUUGAGAUUUUUUUUUUUUAAAGGAAAAUAAAGACAAAGAGAAUCGAAGAUAACGAUGUAUGCCAUUGUCUACGCACCAUUCGACUUCUUCUUUCGCAUCGCGAAAGUAGUCUGAUCUAUUGAAGAAAUAAGAGAAGAAAAAAAUCAGGCUGCGAAAGUGGUGGAAUGACAAUGCCUUUGAAGCAAUCUGUUUCAACCGAAACGCCAUGAGUUAAACGAUACACGAAGAUGCCUAGCAUCGAUAACACGUCAGAGAAAGUCGAAUUAUAUCGGUUCUAUGGAAAUUUCGUGCACGAGAGAGAAGUGUAACGGUCUCUUAGGAUAGAAAAUAAAAUGACAAAGAUUCAACCGAACAAGUAACGCAUCCUUGUGCCAGAUUCAAGUCUGUAACGACACAUUUAUAGCACGAGACCGAUCUUAGGAUUUCGUCAUUACGACACGGACCAUGGUUUGCGUUUCGUUCCUGUCGAACACACUUGUUUCCUAUCAAGGAUCGACUUUCAUGAAAUUCAAUUAAAAAAAAAAAAAAAUGAAAGAGAAAAAUUUA